rnacentral:rRNA from 1 species
GUGGGGAAUCUUGCGCAAUGGGCGAAAGCCUGACGCAGCCAUGCCGCGUGAAUGAUGAAGGUCUUAGGAUUGUAAAAUUCUUUCACCGGGGACGAUAAUGACGGUACCCGGAGAAGAAGCUCCGGCUAACUUCGUGCCAGCAGCCGCGGUAAUACGAAGGGGGCUAGCGUUGCUCGGAAUUACUGGGCGUAAAGGGCGCGUAGGCGGACAGCUUAGUCAGAGGUGAAAGCCCAGGGCUCAACCUUGGAAUUGCCUUUGAUACUGGCUGGCUUGAGUGUGGGAGAGGUGAGUGGAACUCCGAGUGUAGAGGUGAAAUUCGUAGAUAUUCGGAAGAACACCAGUGGCGAAGGCGACUCACUGGCCCAAUACUGACGCUGAGGCGCGAAAGCGUGGGGAGCAAACAGGAUUAGAUACCCUAGUAGUCC